CAGGAAGGGGAGGGGAGGUACAUAAUGAUAUGUAAAACAGACUUGUCUGGGCAGGAAGGGGAGGGGAGGUACAUAAUGAUAUGUAAAACAGACUUGUCUGGGCAGGAAGGGGAGGGGAGGUACGUAAUGAUAUGUAAAACAGACUUGUCUGGGCAGGAAGGGGAGGUGCGUAAUGAUAUGUAAAACAGACUUGUCUGGGCAGGAAGGGGAGGGGAGGUACAUAAUGAUAUGUAAAACAGACUUGUCUGGGCAUGAAGGGGAGGUACAUAAUGACAGGUAAAACAGACUUGUCUAGGCAGGAAGGGGAGGGUAGGUACGUAAUGAUAUGUAAAACAGACUUGUCUGGGCAGGAAGGGGAGGGUAGGUACAUAAUGAUAUGUAAAACAGACUUGUCUGGGCAGGAAGGGGAGGUACAUAAUGAUAUGUAAAACA
ensembl:lncRNA